GAAUAUAAUUCGGUCGGCAGGAAGGAGGGAGCUGUCGCUGGCCCUAUGGGCAUGUGCACGCUCUCUUUGGAAUGUCGGUCCGUCUUUUCAUAUUUUCACCAGUGCACCUAAUGUAGGAUGCCUCUCCUCCGGGAGGGGGUACCUAUGUCUUUUUCAGACGCCAUAAGUUUAGAAAGUUCUCAGAAUGUUUACUAUCGUUCGAGCCGCGACUUCCAGGAGACGCGGGUCGGCGAGAUAAAAGUUAUCACAACUUUCAGCAAUGGAUCUCUUGGCUCU
rnacentral:misc_RNA from 1 species